CUGCCGCCGCCGCCCGCUCGCUCGCGCUCCCCGCCCGCCGCCCGCUGUCCUCCGGCGGUUCUUUCGUUAGUCCCCUGUCUCGUCUUCAGUUUACCAGUCUUCAUCUCCGAGCUUGCGACUCGCGAACAGGGGUCUUCGGCGAAAAGAGGCUAGACUCAAAGUCGUCGCUUGAGCAAUGGCUGCUACCGGAAAAGACUGGUGAUUGUUGGUGAUGGAGCCUGUAGCAAGACAUGCUUGCUCAUAGUCUUCAGCAAGGACCAGUUCCCAGAGGUAUAUGUGCCUACAGUGUUUGGGAACUAUAUGGCAGAUAUUGAAGUGGAUGGAAAACGGGUAGAGUUGGCCUUGUGGGACACAGCUGGGCAGGAAGAUUAUGAUCGUCUGAGGCCGCUCUCCUACCCAGAUACCGAUGUUAUAUUGAUGUUUCUCCAUCGACAGCUCUAAGAGUUUAGAAAACAUCCCAGAAAAAUGGACUCGCGAAGUCAAGAAUUUCUGUCCCAACGUGCCCAUCAUCCUGGUUGGGAACAAGAAGGAUCUUCGGAAUGAUGAGCACACAAGGCGGGAGCUAGCCAAGAUGAAGCAGGAGCCGGUAAAACUUGAAGAAGGCAGAGAUAUGGCAAACAAGAUUGACGCUUUUGGGUACAUGGAGUGUUCAGCAAAGACCAAAGAUGGAGUGAGGGAGGUUUAUGAAAUGGCUAGGAGAGCUGCUCUGCAAGCCAGGCAUGGGAAGAAAAAAUCUGGGUGCCUUGUCUUGUGAAACCUUGCUGCAAGCACAGCCCUUAUGCGGUUAAUUUUGAAGUGCUGUUUAUUAAUCUUAGUGUAUGAUUACUGGCCUUUUUCAUUUAUCUAUAAUUUACCUAAGAUUACAAAUCAGAAGUCAUCUUGCUACCAGUA